AUGAACGCUGGCGGCGUGCCUAAUACAUGCAAGUCGAGCGAACAGACGAGGAGCUUGCUCCUCUGACGUUAGCGGCGGACGGGUGAGUAACACGUGGAUAACCUACCUAUAAGACUGGGAUAACUUCGGGAAACCGGAGCUAAUACCGGAUAAUAUAUUGAACCGCAUGGUUCAAUAGUGAAAGACGGUUUUGCUGUCACUUAUAGAUGGAUCCGCGCCGCAUUAGCGAGUUGGUAAGGUAACGGCUUACCAAGGCAACGAUGCGUAGCCGACCUGAGAGGGUGAUCGGCCACACUGGAACUGAGACACGGUCCAGACUCCUACGGGAGGCAGCAGUAGGGAAUCUUCCGCAAUGGGCGAAAGCUUGACGGAGCAACGCCGCGUGAGUGAUGAAGGUCUUCGGAUCGUAAAACUCUGUUAUUAGGGAAGAACAAAUGUGUAAGUAACUAUGCACGUCUUGACGGUACCUAAUCAGAAAGCCACGGCUAACUACGUG
rnacentral:rRNA from 1 species